rnacentral:rRNA from 1 species
GACGAACGCUGGCGGCGUGCUUAACACAUGCAAGUCGAACGAUGAAGCCUAGCUUGCUAGGUGGAUUAGUGGCGAACGGGUGAGUAAUACGUGAGUAACCUACCUUUAACUCUGGGAUAAGCCCGGGAAACUGGGUCUAAUACCGGAUACGACCAAUCUCCGCAUGGGGUGUUGGUGGAAAGCGUUAUGUAGUGGUUAUAGAUGGGCUCACGGCCUAUCAGCUUGUUGGUGGGGUAACGGCUCACCAAGGCGACGACGGGUAGCCGGCCUGAGAGGGUGACCGGCCACACUGGGACUGAGACACGGCCCAGACUCCUACAGGAGGCAGCAGUGGGGAAUAUUGCACAAUGGGCGCAAGCCUGAUGCAGCGACGCCGCGUGAGGGAUGACGGCCUUCGGGUUGUAAACCUCUGUUAGCAGGGAAGAAGAGAGAUUGACGGUACCUGCAGAGAAAGCGCCGGCUAACUACGUGCCAGCAGCCGCGGUAAUACGUAGGGCGCGAGCGUUGUCCGGAAUUAUUGGGCGUAAAGAGCUUGUAGGCGGUUUGUCGCGUCUGCUGUGAAAGGCCCGGGGCUUAACUCCGUGUAUUGCAGUGGAUACGGGCAGACUAGAGUGCAGUAGGGGAGACUGGAAUUCCUGGUGUAGCGGUGGAAUGCGCAGAUAUCAGGAGGAACACCGAUGGCGAAGGCAGGUCUCUGGGCUGUAACUGACGCUGAGAAGCGAAAGCAUGGGGAGCGAACAGGAUUAGAUACCCUGGUAGUCCAUGCCGUAAACGUUGGGCACUAGGUGUGGGGGACAUUCCACGUUUUCCGCGCCGUAGCUAACGCAUUAAGUGCCCCGCCUGGGGAGUACGGCCGCAAGGCUAAAACUCAAAGAAAUUGACGGGGGCCCGCACAAGCGGCGGAGCAUGCGGAUUAAUUCGAUGCAACGCGAAGAACCUUACCAAGGCUUGACAUAUACUGGACCGCAUCAGAGAUGGUGUUUCCCUUCGGGGCUGGUAUACAGGUGGUGCAUGGUUGUCGUCAGCUCGUGUCGUGAGAUGUUGGGUUAAGUCCCGCAACGAGCGCAACCCUCGUUCUAUGUUGCCAGCACGUUAUGGUGGGGACUCAUAGGAGACUGCCGGGGUCAACUCGGAGGAAGGUGGGGAUGACGUCAAAUCAUCAUGCCCCUUAUGUCUUGGGCUUCACGCAUGCUACAAUGGCCGGUACAGAGGGUUGCGAUACUGUGAGGUGGAGCUAAUCCCUAAAAGCCGGUCUCAGUUCGGAUUGGGGUCUGCAACUCGACCCCAUGAAGUCGGAGUCGCUAGUAAUCGCAGAUCAGCAACGCUGCGGUGAAUACGUUCCCGGGCCU